CAUGCCUAACCCAUCAACACAAUUCCCUCCAAUGCCACAGUCUGUUUUGAACCAAAGCUUUUAUGAAACAAGUUACAAUACCAUUACAGCUCUUGACAAUUUGGGAACCAGUGGAUGGUUGAAAACAGAGUUAUAGAGUGUGAGAUAUCUGGUCUUGUUUCUUUUAUCAGACUUUGGAAUUUUAUUGUCCAGUUGACUGCACAAAUUAACUGAAGUUGAAGGCAGAGUAACUAAAAGUAGUCAGUCGUGGUAUAGGACUAUA